CCUACGGGUGGCAGCAGUGGGGAAUAUUGGACAAUGGGGGCAACCCUGAUCCAGCCAUGCCGCGUGUGUGAAGAAGGCCCUCGGGUUGUAAAGCACUUUCAGUGAGGAAGAACGCCUGGUGGUUAAUACCCAUCAGGAAAGACAUCACUCACAGAAGAAGCACCGGCUAACAUCCGUGCCAGCAGCCGCGGUAAUACGGAGGGUGCGAGCGUUAAUCGGAAUUACUGGGCGUAAAGCGCGCGUAGGUGGCUUGAUAAGCCGGUUGUGAAAGCCCCGGGCUCAACCUGGGAACGGCAUCCGGAACUGUCAAGCUAGAGUGCAGGAGAGGAAGGUAGAAUUCCCGGUGUAGCGGUGAAAUGCGGAGAGAUCGGGAGGAAUACCAGUGGCGAAGGCGGCCUUCUGGACUGACACUGACACUGAGGUGCGAAAGCGUGGGUAGCAAACAGGAUUAGAUACCCCUGUAGUC
rnacentral:rRNA from 1 species